GGGUAUGAAGACAUAGGCCUAGGGCAAGUUAUCAGCGUAUGGGUGCUCUGCAAUUAGCAUACAGACUUGAGAGCAACCAUUUAUGGUCAAUAUCACAAUUUCUUCUGGGUUACAGUUGGUGGAAAGGCUCCCUCUUCUGGGCCAACAUCCUGAAGUUCUCGGAAGCCUAUGAAUUCUGCCGGAAGUCUGGAAAGAUGGCCACAAUUCCCAAACGUCUGGGAACCAUAAUCUAGAAGAUGGUGAGGGUACACUUAGGUAAUCUAAUGAGACCUUUGGAUCCCCCACCCUGGAAAAGAUGGACAUAUAUGUGAUGUUUUGCAAAUAAUUACAAGAUUCGAAAGAUCCUAUGGAGCUCGCUCUGUGAAUCAAUCAAGAAUCUGGGAGCCACAAAUCAAGAGACCCUCCUCUACCAUUAAACUAGAAGAAAGAACAUGUGCUCUGGAGGAAAAGGACUGACUUAGAAUGUGGGAUUCAUUCCUUUUAGCUGUGGGAUCAAGACCAGCAGCACUUAGCAAGACUUUCCAAUUACUUCAGAGAUUGGAUGGUCCAGUCUAGUGGAAAGAACAUUUCCAUAGGAAUCUGACAUCUUGAAUUUGAAUUUCAGCCUACAUGCAAGGUAAGCCAUGGUUACUUAAACCUGUUUCCCAAAUUCAAUGAAGUAUUUAUAAGCUUUGAUUUAUGAGUUGUUGGGAGCAUUAAAUAAAACAUGCCAAAGUGCUUUGAGGAUUACAGAGUGUUGUGAAUAUGUAACGACUUUCUGGUCCAGUUCCAUGGACACAUUGACACAUUCAUUAAAAAUGACACAAUUAAUUUCCAAAGGCAAUUAGUCUUUUAAAAAUACAUAUUAUAUUAUUUAAGUGUGAAAUGCAAUAAAGGAAACAUUUCAAAUGGAGUUGGGAGGUCAGCACGGGGCCUCUCACGUUUAUUUCACUCUGACCACUUGCUCUCAGUUGCAGACCCCAACAGGAAGAGAGGUACAUUGCACUCCUAACAGGAAAAAGCCUACUCUACUACUUCAGUAGGAGAUAGGAUCUUCUUUGCCCACCAACAGGCUCAGCCAAUAAAAAAAUACCUCAGCUCAGUGGAUGAGAAACCAUGAACACUUGCUUUCUUCCAGCGGAUUUCAUCCAAAGCAACCCUGCCCAGCUUCCUUCUUUUCUUUGUAAACUUUCCUUCCAUCUCUGGGACUUGCCUCUGGUCUGCCGUAGCUUUAGUGUCCCAAAUUACCAUUCCCCUGCUAUUCCCAAAUAAAUCCAUUUUGUUGGUAAAAUAACUAGCUGUUUUACCUUUAAAGUCAACAAAUUG